rnacentral:lncRNA from 1 species
UGAUCGUCUCAGAUUUUCUCUUCGAUUCCUGAUCAAAUAAUACCAAGAGAAAAAUCAAAAAUUAGUAAGAGAAAAAAAAAGAUAAGAAAAGUAACAAAAAUAGAAAAUAUUUUUAUUUUAUUUAGAUAUAUAUUUUUUUUGAAAGUUUUUUUUUAAUGAAAAGAAAAAUAACUAUGCUAGCAAUCUCCGGCAACGGUGCCAAAAAUUGUUAGUCAACUUUAAAGACCACGUAAUAGCACGUAUCUGGUAGGAUAGUGAUUACGGAUAUCGAUCCACAGGGAUUGGGGUACAGUUGUUUUCUUAAAAAUAUUUGAAAAAGAGAAUUUAUGAAGACUAUUAAACUAAGCAAUUUAAUAAGAAAUGCAAUUAAAAUGAUAUCAGUUUGGGAAAACCUAGGGCAAGAAAUUCACUACUAACAAAGCAACGAGGAUCAAUUGUAUUUUAAUUUAUUCUUGGAUUAAUAUGCAAAUUGGCUACAAGCCUAAUAAGCAUUCAAAUAAAAUCUCACAAAAGUAAUUUAGGAACAUCCAUCUUCGGUUGGCAUGAAAUGUCUACCCUAAACUAAUAUGGCAGGAUACUGCAUCUUUCCUAAGCAUGGGUGAUCUUUUAUUAACUUAGUGAUCAUGAAGAACAAUUGUAUAAACGUCAUACUUAAAAUCACAGAAAUUAAAUAUGAGAUGAAAUAAAAUAUUCAUUAAGAACAAAAUAAAGUUUAUACAACUCUAAGAAUAUAAAUCAAAAAUACAAAAUUCUUGGCCCUUUGUCAGGGCUGCAUCCAGCCCCAGUGAGAGGAUUAGGCUUCCAUGCAGUGGUGGACAGCAGCAGCAGUGCCAAGAGCUUCCAUCUCUUCGUUCAUUCUCCCUGGAGACUCCCCUGAGAGCGGCUCCCUCUUAGCACAUCAUCAUCUCUUCCUAUAGGAAAUAAUUCCCAAAGUACCCAAACUCUUCUCCCUCCUCUGUUUCCUGUGGGACUUUCCAAAUAAAAGAACUAAAGGAUGGGAUCGGGUGAGAAAGAAUGGGACGGAAGAGAAUGCCUCCUCUCCUUCACAUCUUGACUCCUUUUAUAGCCUGCCCACCUCUCUCUCCUCCCCUCUUUAGAAUUAAGGAUAAGGAUGCAGAGGAUGAUGUGGAUGCUGGAACGGUGCUCACGGCUGAGAGUGGAUGUGAUCCGAAAUGUUGGUGAUGCGGCUUCAAUGCAGAGGCGACACGGUAGAAGAUCUUGGACACGGCUGGGACGCUGAAAUGUGGACGUGAGAGGAUCUCGGAAGUUGGGAUGGCUGGGAGCACAUGGAAUGAGCGAAAGAAAGUGAUCCCUGGGAAGCUUUAUCACGGGCGUUGAAAGGAUUUUGGUUCUAUUCAGAAGCAGGGGAAAAGAUUGUAGAGGAAGUUCACGAUGCUUGCUUUCCGGAGAGGAUAAGCUUUGUUCUCAGGGGAUCCGGAAGUUAAUCCGCGAGGGGGAGCAGCUGGCAGUGGUUGCUGGUUCUCAUCCGAAAGGGAAUGGACAUGCGGAACAGGGGAGAGGACGCUGGGAGGAUCUCGGAGUCUGGUAGGAGCUGCACUUAUCCGUGGGCGAUGGAAGGAAUCGACGCUUCUUCAACACGGAGAGGAUCUUGGACGCUGCUAGGACGCGUUGGAUUCAUCAUAGGCGAUGAAGGAUUUGCUGGACAACUAUGAAUGGGAGGGAGUUUGGGACUUAUCCGAAGCAGGGGAUAAGGAUGUAAUCCGAACGGGAGAAAAUCUGGGAAGACGUGAUGCUCAUGGGAUACUCGGACACAGUUGAAUGGGGUUGAUCCAGAAGUUGCUGAUGUUGGUUCAACGCGGUGGAGAUGAAGAUAAGCGCGAGGAAAAAUCUGGGAAGGAUGCGGAAGAGGAGGAAGGUUGGAUUCAGGAUGAGCGUGGGAUUGUUGCAGAUGCAGGGGAUGCGGAUAGCGAGCUCUUCCGUGAUGCUCGGGGAGAAGGAUUUGCUCGGGUUGGACUCUGUUUUGUUAGACUGGGAAGUCUGGACGCCUAAUCUGAGAUGAUAUGGAGAAAGCCGUUGGGAGAGAUAUGGAGAAGCUCAUGAAGUUGAGAAGAAGAUGACAUGAAGUUGGCUGGAAAUGCUGGGAUAAGAGUGAAUGAGAUGAGAGCUGGGAGAUUUGAGAAUCCAUGGGUGAUGGGAUAAGGAUGCAGGCUGAAUGGCUGAG